CUGCUCUUAGUGUAAACUAUUCUAUCAAAAUUACAGAAUGGAGAUAAUAUUUUUCAUUCACUGCUCUAAGUGUAAACAAUUCUAACAGAAUAACAAAAUGGAAAUAAUAUUUUCCUUCACUACUCCAACUGUAAACUAUUCCAUUAAACUUACAGAAUGGAGAUAAUAUUUUUUCUUCACUGCUUCUAGUGUAAAUUAUUCUAAUAAAACUUCAAUACGUAAUGCCUUAUUAUUCACAAAUCCAAAGCCUAAACUACAAACAAAAACACCCAACUUCAGAUCUAUACAUACAGAUUACAUAAACACAUAAACAAAAAAUCAAAAGGGUAUGCAUAAUUUCUGAAAAUAAUUGGUAUACACAAAGAGAAGUCAGGUAAGCUCUUAAAUAGAGCCACCACCACAACAUAGUCACUACUGCACCCAAACACUGCAACCACAACCAAUAGAGCCGUCGUCGCUGUCGUCAUCGCCACCAGAGCCAACGAACCACAUAUCAGAAAAUCAUCACACUCCCACAACCACUACGAGCACCACUGCAUCUAUACAACCAUCUCCAAAAUUACCACCACCACAACAGGGAAUCGCCGCUUUCGACAACGAUGGCAUCGUCGGCGUGGCAAAGCUCUCCAUGCUGCCGGAGAUGCAGGGGUGGACGGAUUAGUGGGUAGAGAGAGAAGUUAGAGAGAAGGAAGAGAGUGAGGAUGAGGGUAAAAAUGAAUUUGAUUUUGGGAUGGACCUUAAUUGAGGUACAGGAGUUUUUUUCACAGAACUCCUGCAAGUGCUCGCGGCAUGGGUGGGGGGUGAGUGGGGAUUUUGACAAUUUUUUAGUACCCCUGUACAUGGAGUAAAAUCCUUUUGGGAUAAAUGGGAUUGGGAGUGGGGCGAGCGUGGGCGAAGGUGGGGUGAGGUUAGA
rnacentral:lncRNA from 1 species